CACAGUGCUUCUGAAGCAGCGUGUUGAUCUUUGACAAACGCACCGGAGCGUCAGCUUCAAGCGGACCAUCAGUACCUCUCACAUCUAAAGCUGAUCAGCAGGAGGAGAAGAGUCUGACGGAGCAGCAGAGGAACAUUUUCAGCUACUUGGAUUCAGCUCAGCCACUACAGAGAAAACAAUGAGCUCAACACAGAAGGACCAACAUGGAGCGAGAAGUCAGCGCUCUCAGGAGGCCGACAAACCUCACAGAAGAAAGAGAGAGAAAACAUACACCUGUGACGAGUGUGGGAAGGAUUUUACUGGGAAGGCUGAACUAAAACGUCAUCAGGUUAUCCACACUGGAGAGAGACCGUUCAGCUGUGACUUGUGUGGAAAGUCUUUUUCCUGGAAGCGUUCCCUAAAAAGACACCAACUCAUCCACAGUGGAGUUAAAGCGUACAGCUGUGAUCAGUGUGGCAGAGCUUUUACUCACAGUAGCAGCUUACAGAAGCAUCUAGUUACCCACUCUGGAAUUAAGGCAUACAGCUGUGAUGAGUGUGGGAAGGAUUUUACUGGGAAGGCUUCCCUAAAAGAGCACCAACUCAUCCACAGUGGAGUUAAAGCGUACAGCUGUGAUCAGUGUGGCAGAGCUUUUACUCAAAGUAACCACUUACAGAAUCAUCUAGUUACCCACUCUGGAAUUAAGGCAUACAGCUGUGACAUCUGUGGAAAAACUUUCAGCCAGAGAGGUACCCGAAAUACACACCUACGCAUUCACACCAGACAUGAUGUGUACUGCUGUGAACAGUGUGGCAAAUACUUUGCUACAGACACACAGUUACAACAACACAUGUUUACCCACACUGAGGGACGACCUUAUAAAUGUGACCUGUGUGAGAAGACUUUUAAAUCUCCACAUCACCUGAGACGACACCAACAGAUCCACACCAGAAAGAGACUCUACAAGUGCAGUUACUGUGAGGUUUGUAUUUAUAUUGUUAUCUUGUCAUUUUAGCCUGACUGUUUGGAACAAC